rnacentral:snRNA from 1 species
GUGCUUGCUUCGGCAGCACAUAAAUUAAAACUAGAACGAUACAGAGAAGAUUAGCGUGGUCCCUGUGCAAGGAUGACAGGCAAAUUCGUGAAGCAUUCCAUAUUUUC